rnacentral:lncRNA from 1 species
AUGGUGAAGGUUUUUCCGUUGCACCUGCCGACUCCGCCGACUCGGGAAUCGGGGGAUCACCCGGCGCAGAAAAGCGAGCCCACCCCCACGGGGAGAAAUCGUAGGCGCCGCUGGACCGGUGCAUCCCAGCGACUAAGCGCCCGGCCAGGGAGAUCGGCGGGGUGCCCUCGGCUACCCUUCGCUACCUACCUCGCUCGAGCUUCCGACGGCCGCUCCCCGCCAGCCGGACCUUCCUUCCUUCCUUUGCCGCGACGCGCACCUGUUGCUUUCGCUAUAGCAGCAGCCGCGGCGCACCUUGGACGCCGGACGGGAAAAAAGAGCGCAGCGGUGGCCACGCCCCCUUCUGGAAUCCGAGCCGCCUGCGCCCGCCCCCUCAGCCACGCCCCCUCGCCUCCCAAGCCAGGCUGCUUUUGCGCAUGCUCCGCACCGAUGCGGCGCUCUCUCUCUCUCUCUCUCUCUCUCUCUCUCUGUCCCGUUUUUGUUUUUUUUUUCCUCCCGGUUGCCACGCGCGCAAAGGGAAAGGUCGAAGAGCGCGCAUGGGCGUUUCGUUCCGCAAGCGAAACUAAGAGCAAAGAACAAGAAACUGAUACGGAAAGAUUCAGAACUCCAGAUCUGAAUCCAUGGCUGAGGACCGAACUAUGCUGGCAGAUGUUGCAGGGCGAAAAUGAAGAGCUUGUGGAUCGAGACCCAGUUCCCUAUUCCCUGAGCUACCAGUUGUGCUGAACAGCAAGCAAUUCCAGCUUAGACACUUGCACAGCAGCCCUGAACUCUCUCUGAUCCGGGGAGUUGGGUAGCACCUGAAGGCCAAUCCUCUGACAUCUGAUAUAAGCUUCCAGGUCUACAGGUUUCCUGCACUCUAGGUAACUUUGGGGAAGUGUUUGUUCUUUCAUGCCAAGUCACCAGUCUAUAGCCUGGCAUGCAUCCUCAUUUUGUAAAUAGUUAAUGUUAUGUACUGAUGUUCUCACCCUGGGCCAGCAGGGGGAUACUGUAGAUAGUUAUGCAAAUGAAGGAUCGAAAGUAACGUUCUGUGAUUGGAUAGUUUGUAUGCAAAUGAAGGAUCGAAAAGUGACGUUCUGUGAUUGGAUAAUUUUAGAAAGUCGCAACAGUUACAAUUGUUCUGGUGCUCUAUAUAAGCAGGCUGACUGAGCUCCUCAGUUAGUUCUGUUCCAGCUUACAAAUAAAGAGCUGCUUUGGAAGAAUCACUGUGUCAUCUGAUAUGUUCACCCACAACUUAACAGUUAAUAAAGUUUAUAUUUUAUGGAUAUCCUGG